rnacentral:rRNA from 1 species
UACGCAGGGGGCUAGCGUUGUUCGGAAUUACUGGGCGUAAAGGGCGCGUAGGCGGCGUGUCAAGUCAGGCGUGAAAGCCCCGGGCUCAACCUGGGAACCGCGCUUGAGACUGGCAUGCUCGAGUUCGGGAGAGGAUGGUGGAAUUCCCAGUGUAGAGGUGAAAUUCGUAGAUAUUGGGAAGAACACCGAUGGCGAAGGCAGCCAUCUGGACCGACACUGACGCUGAGGCGCGAAAGCGUGGGGAGCAAACAGG